rnacentral:tRNA from 1 species
GGGCUGGUAGCUCAGCGGUAGAGCACCUGACUUUUAAUCAGAGUGUCGUGGGUUCGAUCCCCACCCGGCCCA